rnacentral:rRNA from 1 species
UACGUAGGGUGCGAGCGUUGUCCGGAAUUAUUGGGCGUAAAGAGCUCGUAGGCGGUGUGUCGCGUCGGUCGUGAAAACUUGGGGCUUAACCCUGAGCUUGCGGUCGAUACGGGCAUCACUUGAGUUCGGCAGGGGAGACUGGAACUCCUGGUGUAGCGGUGAAAUGCGCAGAUAUCAGGAAGAACACCGGUGGCGAAGGCGGGUCUCUGGGCCGAUACUGACGCUGAGGAGCGAAAGCGUGGGGAGCGAACGGG